GCCAGGAGGGAGCAGUCGGUGAUUGUUUGCAUUGUACAUGGCAGGCAGUUCUGGUAGAUGGCAAAAGGGGUAGCUGGAGGGGGGCAAGGAUUUCGGGGGUCCUGGCUGCUCCUCCUAACCUGCCCCUUCUUCCCACGGGGGUGGGGAAAAGUGGCCUCUUUCUUUGGUUCACAGAUUAUACGUUCUCUCAGGUGGAUCCUUGUUAGCUUCAGCCAAGAUAGAAGAGGUGUUGGAGUAUCCUGGUGGGCAGAGAGAACACGGGUCUGCAAGAGAGCGAGAUCUUGCAGCGGAUGCUAUAGGAUGCUGUAGCCAAGUUUGGGGAGAAAGUUUGAUCCAAGGUUUGUUUUAUUAUUUUAGUACCAGACAAAGCAAACUCCAUGAAGCAGGUGUUAUUGGAUACAUCAUCGUUAAGCCAAGCUGAAUGUUAAAGUUAAUCUGUCAAUUCCCCAGGAGAGGGGAUGUGACAGGUGUGUCUGGGCCGUCUGAUGUAUAUGGCUGCGGUUGUUGUAUGAUCAAAGCAGCAAGGGCAAUAAAUGACAAAUACUCAAGGAUCUACUCUCCAAGCAACCCGUUAAGCUGUAAGGAAGAUUCCCAGUGAAGACUCUGUCAAGCAAAUUUUCUUGUUUUUCAUUUACCCUCACCCUGAUAAAAACUCUGCGGCUGGAGUAUCACAGGAGAAUGGUACCGUUAGGACGUGAGAGAGACUUUGUGUCAAAAUACGAACGAGGAGCCUGAAUCUGUCAUCCUGAAUCAGGCCCCGUAGCACCUUUCCCCGCACAGAAUCCUCUUGAUUUCAAUAGUGUGGAUCAGAGCACCGCGGUGAAUUAGGAGACCAGAACUCGGCCAUUAGAAAGAAACAUAAACACAUCACUAGAAGUGAUGGAAUUAAAUGAUGCAAAAGAAGCAGGUGGUUAAUCAAAAAUAACAAGGGGGAAAAAAGCAGAGAAACAACGAAAGAAGGCCAUGCAUGUAGCUAUUAUGAGGUCAAACUGCUCUGAGGAGGGGAAAAUAAAGAUAGAUAAAAAUAAAGCAUAUGCUUAGGCAAGAAGAUCCAACACU